GACGAACGCUGGCGGCGUGCUUAACACAUGCAAGUCGAACGAAGUGGCGAACGGGUGAGUAACGCGUAAUCAACCUGCCCUUCAGAGGGGGACAACAGUUGGAAACGACUGCUAAUACCGCAUACUGAAGGAGGAGAUUGCGUCUGAUUAGCUAGUUGCAGGGGUAACGGCCCACCAAGGCGAUGAUCAGUAGCCGGGCUGAGAGGAUGAACGGGAAAAUUGGGACUGAGACACGGCCCAGAAUCCUACGGGAGGCAGCAGUGGGGAAUCUUCCGAAAUGGACGAAAGUCUGACGGAGCAACGCCGCGUGAGUGAUGACGGGUUUCGGGUUGUAAAGCUCUGUUAAUCGGGACGCGGUACCGGAAUAGAAAGCCACGGCUAACUACGUGCCAGCAGCCGCGGUAAUAC
rnacentral:rRNA from 1 species